GCCCUUACGUGCCCCCGCAGGAACGGGAGGAGAACCUCGUCCUGACGAUGACGAAACCCGACCGCCCAACAAGAUCGGAUGAGGGAAAAAAGCCCCUCGGCGGCACCUCCACGCUCCUAUGCAACCUCGCAAAAAGCGAGGGGAGGACCCCCACUCUGAGGAGAGGAAGAAAAUUAAAAAGGAAGGGUGACGAACUACAACGGAAACAGAUGAAGGACGAACCGCCCAAAAGACCUAAAGAACCUCGUCCCAACAAAGACGGGGAGUUCCUACCAAACACCCCCGGCCUCUAAGAAGACUCCCGACACAGGUCAAGAAGACAGCGACAUCCCCGAAGUAAUGCGGAGUCCGGACCGCCAAGCUCGGGCUUACGGCCAUGUACGACGAGGGAGGCAAGCUAAUGCAUCAACGACUGGGCGCCUCCUAACGACGUCAAUAUCAGACAAGUCGAACGACAAGAAAAGUUUGGCGGACGAUAAUUUAAUACAACGCACGGACGAGGUAACACAAAACACCAUUUUCAUUCUAUUUUUGAAAUACACACUACAAAGCCCGGAAGGCCAAGAAAAGAAAAGUAAAACGACAAAAGCGAGACAAAACAGC
rnacentral:lncRNA from 1 species